rnacentral:rRNA from 1 species
AUGCCUAUCCUCCUACAAUAUUUUAAUGUGAAACGACUCUCUCCGGUUUACAUAGGAGUGAUGUGCAGUAUCUGUCAUAUCUUGGGAAAAGAGGAAGAAGUGGUGCCAUCCUGGGAUCAUAUUAUGGAAGUUCUGUACAAGGGUAUCCAAGAAUUGUCACUUCAACCGUCAAUUUUAUCAAGCUUUGGAGAGAUUGCUGUUGCUAUUGGUGACAAAUUUGAGAAGUACGUGCCUCCAGUUUUGGAAAAGCUUAGAGAAGCUGAAGCUGCUCAUUUGAAGUUAGGAGAUAAGGAUCAUGGUAGCAAGGUUAGAGAGUCAAUAUUCAAGGCUUACCAUGGCAUGAUGGAGGGCAUAAAUGACCCAAAGUGUGGGAUGAAGGUAGGAAUGGCUCUGUAUGAAUUUAUUGAAGAUGACCAGAGCAACACCAAGAGAAGGGAUACAAGUGUGGCCAUGGCAGGAGUUGAUGCUUUGUCUCUACUACCUAUGAGGGUGCGGGCUUGGUCAGAGCGAUUAAUUGUAUUGAUGAAGGAAGGAAGGGUUUAUUAG